ACAGAGGCAGCAAGGCAUUCACAAAAAAGACAAGACAUGAGAAAACACGAGCCAGGCGACACGUGUUUGCCCACUGGGGAAUAUCUACAAAUUUCCAUCAGGGCUCCUCAACGACUGUCAGAUCAGCAGCAACAAAGCAGUCCGGUUUUCGGGAGGUGCUGGAGCUGGACACGUGCAGCUCAUCAGGCUCAUCAGCUGGGGAGUAUAUGAAGAGGUUGUGCCUGCACUUCGUUGCCUGAGCGUUUGCCUUUGCGGUGCAUUACUUCUGGAUCCAACGAAGUUGACCAGAGACUUGGAGUGAAUCAGUUUGAACCGAUUCCCGGAUUGAACCUUUGGGCUGACUCUUCUGUGAGCCUCCAGCUGAGCGAAUCCUGUCCACCCUCCCAGCACCUCCUAUUCGGUCCGUCCCGACCACCACAGCGGGUGAAGCUGACCACUCUCUCUCACACCCCAGGAUUUCUGACUGUCCUCCCUGGCGGAUUUACCCGUGCUUACCUCCAGAGGAUUCCACUCCCGUUUUCUGAUUCCCAGGAUUAAAAUAAAUAUUUGUCUAAAC